rnacentral:rRNA from 1 species
GUGGGGAAUAUUGGGCAAUGGACGAAAGUCUGACGGCGCAACGCCGCGUGAGUGAUGACGGCCUUCGGGUUGUAAAGCUCUGUGAUCGGGGACGAAUGGCUGGUAUGCUAAUACCAUAUCAGAGUGACGGUACCCGAAUAGCAAGCCACGGCUAACUACGUGCCAGCAGCCGCGGUAAUACGUAGGUGGCAAGCGUUGUCCGGAAUUAUUGGGCGUAAAGCGCGCGCAGGCGGCUUCUUAAGUCCAUCUUAAAAGUGCGGGGCGUAACCCCGUGGUGGGAUGGAACCUGGGAGGCUGGAGUAUCGGAGAUGAAAGUGGAAUUCCUAGUGUAGCGGUGAAAUGCGUAGAGAUUAGGAAGAACACCGGUGGCGAAGGCGACUUUCUGGACGACAACUGACGCUGAGGCGCGAAAGCGUGGGGAGCAAACAGGAUUAGAAACCCCGGUAGUCC